rnacentral:lncRNA from 1 species
CUGUUUUCCGAUCUAAUAUUAAUAUUUUAACCAGAAUGUUCUCUCCCGUAAGUCUAUGAUGAAAUACACAGUAUCCCGUGGUUAAAUCUUCAAACAUAUUUAGUUUACAUGUUAUCGAGACAACAGACAAUACCACGAACUAUAAUUGACCCAGAUACACACAGUGUACAGUGGUCGUUUUAAAACAAAUAUAAUAGCGUCGUCAAGGGCCACCAAGGGACCAUAUCAAAGACGUUCCGAGAAUUUUAUUCUGACUUCCGGCCGAGAGAUAUCGAGUGGCCCAUAGACACAUCCAAAACUCGCC